UAAGCAAUUAUACCGUGAAACUGCGAAUGGCUCAUUAAAUCAGUUAUCGUUUAUUUGAUAAUACCUUACUACUUGGAUAACCGUGGUAAUUCUAGAGCUAAUACAUGCUGAAAAUCCCGACUUCGGAAGGGAUGUGUUUAUUAGAUAAAAAACCAAUGCCCUUCGGGGCUUUUUGGUGAUUCAUGAUAACUUUACGGAUCGCAUAGCCUUGCGCUGGCGACGGUUCAUUCAAAUUUCUGCCCUAUCAACUUUCGAUGGUAAGGUAUUGGCUUACCAUGGUUUCAACGGGUAACGGGGAAUUAGGGUUCGAUUCCGGAGAGGGAGCCUGAGAAACGGCUACCACAUCCAAGGAAGGCAGCAGGCGCGCAAAUUACCCAAUCCCGACACGGGGAGGUAGUGACAAUAAAUACUGAUACAGGGCUCUUUUGGGUCUUGUAAUUGGAAUGAGUACAAUUUAAACCUCUUAACGAGGAACAAUUGGAGGGCAAGUCUGGUGACAGCAGCCA
rnacentral:rRNA from 1 species